GAUCAACCAAUAGUAGUCCGCCUAUUUUCACCCCCUCCGGACAAAACCCAGAAGCUAAGAAGAACACAAUCCCUAUUUCAUUUCGAUCAAACGGGAAAAAUAACCAAUUUUAUGGAUAAGACGGAAGCUAGCAAGAAGCUAACCGAGGACAUGACUCGUGAGUCACUAAUCGCAAUCUCUUACGACACUGAUGACGUGGCGGCUAAUGAAAUGUCGCCGGAAAACAACAAAAAUAGCGACGAAUUUGUUGAAUCUCCGAAUCGAGAUAGGGACGAGAAAUAUAGGUCUAAGUUGAUCUCGAUUUCUUAUUCGCCCUCGCCCGAUGCGAAAGAGCUACCGUUACUGCCACCCGGCGAAGUCCACGGUUAGCUUAAUGAAACAUUAUCGGACCUCUUUAAUAUUAUACGACUACGAUUGUAAAAUUUUACGAUAAAUAAUUAAAUAUUGUCUUGUAUGAAACAAUAUUUCCUCUUGGGGUUUGAAGGUGUGUUGUGGUUUAUCUUAUAAAUACUUGUAAUUAACUUCACUAUCUAAUAAUGUGAAAAUAUGAUGAAUAUUUUAUUAAUAUAUAUCAAUGAUUAUGUUGAUUUUUAGUUGA